GAUGAACGCUGGCGGCGUGCUUAACACAUGCAAGUCGAACGGAAGGGCCAUGAGGUUGUGGGGUGCACGAGUGGCGAACGGGUGAGUAACACGUGAGUAACACGCCCCUGAAUUUGGGAUAAAAUCAGGAAACUGGGGCUAAUACCGGAUAGGAGAUCUUGCUGCAUGGUGGGGGUAGGAAAGUUUCGGCGGUUGGGGAUGGACUAGCGGCUUAUCGGCUUGGUGGUGGGGUAGUGGCUUACCAAGGCUUUGACGGGUAGCCGGCCUGAGAGGGUGACCGGCCACAUUGGGCCUGAGAUACGGCCCAGACUCCUACGGGCGGCAGCAGUGGGGAAUAUUGCACAAUGGGCGGAAGCCUGAUGCAGCAACGCCGCGUGCGGGAUGACGGCCUUCGGGUUGUAAACCGCUUUCGCCUGUGACGAAGCGUGAGUGACGGUAAUGGGUAAAGAAGCACCGGCUAACUACGUG
rnacentral:rRNA from 1 species